AUUAAAGGAUUUUAUGUAUUUUUUCAAUGAGGGUUUUUCCUUUCAUCACUCUCUCUCCAAAAUAUAUUCUCUUUUUUCUCUCUCUAGCCUUUGGGUGCGGGUGACGAAAAGCCGCUAACGGAAAGUGUCCAAAAUGUUGACAAAAUUCAGGAGCCAUCAAGAACUUGAAAAUCGAAAUCGGCCUGACCAAACCGACCCCUGCAUUUCUCGGGCAUGAGUAGACGAUGACAGAGUUCGAAAUUCGGCAGCAGAAGCAACCGAGCAUCUUCUGAACUCU
rnacentral:lncRNA from 1 species